rnacentral:tRNA from 1 species
GCCGCUGUGGCGGAAUUGGCAGACGCAAGAGACUUAAAAUCUCUCGUUGGGCAACUGACGUACCGGUUCGAUCCCGGUCAGCGGCACCA